GCCCUAUAUUCUUUUGUUGCAAUAAUUUUAACCCUUUCGCACGUACAAUCAAACUGGUGUGAUCAUUCUAGGCUGGUCCCUGGAGUGGACGACCACACCGGUCAGUGCAUGACGUGAAAUUCAAAUGUGCUCUCUCACAUUGGCUGGCGCUGAGCCAGAGACAGGUGCACUCAGAGCUGUCAUCACAACUUUUCAGUGUUUUCAACAACAUAAUGUUUAUUUUAGGUUUCAGACAUAUAGACGGUGGGCCGAGGGUCCGUAUCUGCUUUACUUUUCGAAAUGAAUGAUCCCCAUGGAGGGAGAACCUGGAUUUGUAAAGUUGGGACGGUUGUUUUAUUCUCAACGAUAUGAAAAGUGUUGCCACUCCCAUUUAUUGCACAUUUUCCCCGAAAUCAUAAUGCACGAUCCAUAAAUAUGCAGGCAAACGCGGUUGCCUACUAUAUUAGUUGAGCCAAUAGCGCGGCAAGAUACUGACAUGGGAUUAUUACUAUCCAAUCAGAUGUAGUUUAUUUAGAACAGCUGUUACACGAAUGAUUCCGCUAUCAGACACAAGCACCAGCGGUGCACUGAUCGUCAAGGACAUUCUUUGUGUGAUUUGCACAAGUUCCAGUAUGGCCUCUGGAGCUGGCGGAAGAGUCAUCCAGUCUACUCCGUAGGAAAUCUCCUACCAUCUUCCAGCCAUGAUUUACAGGCGGAGGAAUGUCUGGCAUGCACUCAAGACACCUCCUGUGUACUGCAGCCUGAUAGCUUGCCCGCUGGAUGUGUUUAUGCAAGGAGUCUUUGUUUGGAGAGCGCUCACUGUGUCACAUCCAGAAAAGGCAUGCAGACCUACAAGGGCAUCACAUUUGUCUUCGCCAAGAUGGGCAUGUAGCUUGGUAAUGUCAGUAAUGUGUGUGUCUCUCCCCUUGGCUGUAUGGAAAUGGAGGUGGCCAUCAAUGUGGCUGCAGAAAGCUAGAGCCAGCACAAAGACAUUGGUGUCUGGGCUCUUGAUUACCAGGUCAUGGCUGUGUUUGGCUGCAUGGGCUGCACGCAGAAUCAUUCUGGUGUCUGCCUCCUCUUGA
rnacentral:lncRNA from 1 species